GACGAACGCUGGCGGCGUGCUUAACACAUGCAAGUCGAACGGAAUCGGACGGCUCUUUUGCUUUGCUGGAGAGAGUGACGAACGAGUGACUAACACGUGAGCAGCCUGCCCUCAACAUAUGAAUAACUCCAUGAGAGUGGGGCUAAUGAUAUAUAUUCCGGAUGCAUCGCGUGGUGGGUGAGGGAAACGGUUUUUUCUGGGUAGUCAUGGGCUCUCGGCCUAUCAGCUUGUUAGUGGGGUGAUGGCCUACCAAGGCGGAGACGGGCAGACAGGCUGACAGGGCGGACUGCCACUCAGAUACUGACAUAACGCCCACACUCCUACGGGAGGCAGAAUAGUGGGAUUUUGCACAAUGCGCGAAAGCCUGACGCCGCGACCCCGAGGGAGGGAUGACGGCCUUCAAGCUGUAAACCUCGUUCCCAAGGUUGAAAGACGCUUUUGGGAAAUGAAGACUUUAACUGGUACAUAACUACCGGCUAACUACUUGCCAGCAUGCGAGCGAAUACCUAAGGUACUAGCGUUGUCCGGAAUUAAUGGGCGUGAACGCCUUGUAAGUGGUUUGUCGCGUCUGUCGUGAAACCCGGGGCUUAACUCCGGGCUUGCGGUGGGUACGGGCAGGCUUGAGUGCGGUAGGGGAGACUGGAAUUCCUGGUGUAGCGGUGGAAUGCGCAGAUAUCAGGAGGAAUACCGGUGGCGAAGGCGGGUCUCUGGGCCGUUACUGACACUGAGGAGCGAAAGCGUGGGGAGCGAACAGGAUUAGAUACCCUGGUAGUCCACGCUGUAAACGUUGGGCACUAGUUGUGGGGGCUUUUGUUGGUUUCCGCGACGUAACUAACGCAUUAAGUGCCCCGCCUGGGGAGUACGGCCGCAAGGCUAAAACUCAAAGGAAUUGACGGGGACCCGCACAAGCGGCGGAGCAUGCGGAUUAAUUCGAUGCAACGCGAAGAACCUUACCAAGGCUUGACAUGCACCGGACGACUCUAGAGAUAGGGUUUCCCUUUGUGGCUGGUGUGCAGGUGGUGCAUGGUUGUCGUCAGCUCGUGUCGUGAGAUGUUGGGUUAAGUCCCGCAACGAGCGCAACCCUUGUCUAGUGUUGCCAGCAAGUAGUGUUGGGGACUCUCUAGAGACUGCCGGGGUUAACUCGGAGGAAGGUGGGGAUGACGUCAAAUCAUCAUGCCCCUUAUGUCUUGGGCUUCACGCAUGCUACAAUGGGCGGUACAGUGGGUUGCAAUACCGUGAGGUGGAGCUAAUCCCCAAAGCCGUUCUCAGUUCGGAUCGUAGUCUGCAACUCGACUACGUGAAGGUGGAGUCGCUAGUAAUCGCAGAUCAGCAUUGCUGCGGUGAAUACGUUCUCGGGUCU
rnacentral:rRNA from 1 species